AUAGAGGCAGGCAAAUCCGCCUUUAGAGCCGAACCUGACAGUAUCUUCCCUCCUUCGGGAGGUAGGAAUAGCGCCGGUAACCAUACUCCCGAGAAAAUCCGCUAAGCUCAACCCCAUGGCAACCCGUACCGCAAACCGACACAGGUAGACGGGUAGAACAUACUAAGGCGUUGGAAGAUUCAUGGUUAAGGAACUAGGCAAACUGACCCUGUAACUUCGGGAUAAAGGGUCCUCACAGCGAUGUGAGGCGCAGAGAAUAGGUCCAGGCAACUGUUUAACAAAAACACAGGGCUGUGCAAACACGAAAGUUGAAGUAUACAGCCUGACACCUGCCCGGUGCCGGAAGGUUAAGAGGAGACGUCAUCCCUUUGGGUGCAGCGUUGAAUUGAAGCCCCGGUAAACGGCGGCCGUAACGAUAACGGUCCUAAGGUAGCGAAAUUCCUUGUCGGGUAAGUUCCGACCUGCACGAAUGGUGUAAUGAUCCGGACGCUGUCUCAACCAUGAUUCCAGUGAAAUUGUAGUAUCGGUGAAGAUGCCGAUUACCCGCGAUGGGACGAAAAGACCCCGUGAACCUUUACUGCAGCUUAGCAUUGACCUUGGUCAUCCGAUGUGUAGGAUAGGCCGGAGGCUUUGAAGCGCGGGCGCCAGUCCGUGUGGAGCCAUCCUUGAAAUACGGCCCUUUGGCUGUCUGAGGUCUAACGCGCGAUGUGCGGACACUGCUUGGCGGGCAGUUUGACUGGGGUGGGCGCCUCCAAAAACGUAACGGAGGCUUCCAAAGGUGCCCUCGGGCCGAUUGGUAACCGGCCUUACAGAGUGCAAUGGCAUAAGGGCGCUUGACUGGGAGGCAGACAUGCCGAUCAGGCAGGAAACUGGGGCAUAGUGAUCCGGUGCAAGUGUAUGGAAACUGCAUCGCUCAAAGGAUAAAAGGUACUCCGGGGAUAACAGGCUGAUCCCCCCCAAGAGCUCAUAUCGACGGGGUGCUUUGGCACCUCGAUGUCGGCUCGUCACAUCCUGGGGCUGGAGAAGGUCCCAAGGGUUGGGCUGUUCGCCCAUUAAAGUGGCACGCGAGCUGGGUUCAGAACGUCGUGAGACAGUUCGGUCUCUAUCUAUCGUGGGCGCAGGAGUUUUGCGCGGUGCCGUCACUAGUACGAGAGGACCGUGAUGGACAGACCUCCGGUCUACCGGUUGUGCCGCCAGGCGCACCGCCGGGUAGCCGAGUCUGGAUGGGAUAAGCGCUGAAAGCAUCUAAGUGCGAAGCCCGCCGCAAGAUUAGAACUCCCCAUUAGGGUCGUCCUAGACGAGGACGUUGAUAGGGCGCAGGUGUAAAGGCGGCGACGCCAAAGCCGAGCGCUACUAAUUGCUCA
rnacentral:rRNA from 1 species